GUGCCAGCAGCCCGGCGGCUGACACGAAGGGUGCGAGCGUUAAUCGGAAUUACUGGGCGUAAAGCGUGCGUAGGUGGUUGGCUAAGUCCGAUGUGAAAGCCCUGGGCUCAACCUGGGAAUGGCAUUGGAUACUGGCUGGCUGGAGUGCGGUAGAGGGCAGCGGAAUUUCCGGUGUAGCGGUGAAAUGCGUAGAGAUCGGAAGGAACACCCGUGGCGAAGGCGGCUGCCUGGACCAGCACUGACACUGAGGCACGAAAGCGUGGGGAGCAAACAGGAUUAGAUACCCUAGUAGUCCACGCCCUAAACGAUGCGAACUGGACGUUGGGCUCAACUUGGAGCUCAGUGUCGAAGCUAACGCGUUAAGUUCGCCGCCUGGGGAGUACGGUCGCAAGACUGAAACUCANAGGAAUUGACGG
rnacentral:rRNA from 1 species